rnacentral:rRNA from 1 species
UACAGGGGGGGCAAGCGUUGUUCGGAAUUACUGGGCGUAAAGAGCUCGUAGGUGGUUUGUCGCGUUGUUCGUGAAAACUCACAGCUUAACUGUGGGCGUGCGGGCGAUACGGGCAGACUGGAGUACUGCAGGGGAGACUGGAAUUCCUGGUGUAGCGGUGGAAUGCGCAGAUAUCAGGAGGAACACCGGUGGCGAAGGCGGGUCUCUGGGCAGUAACUGACGCUGAGGAGCGAAAGCGUGGGGAGCGAACAGG